rnacentral:rRNA from 1 species
UACGUAGGGGGCGAGCGUUGUCCGGAUUUAUUGGGCGUAAAGAGCUCGUAGGCGGUUCGAUAAGUCGGACGUGAAAUCUCCACGCUCAACGUGGAGGGGCCGUUCGAUACUGUCGUGACUCGAGUCCGGUAGGGGAGUGUGGAAUUCCCGGUGUAGCGGUGAAAUGCGCAGAUAUCAGGAGGAACACCGGUGGCGAAGGCGGAUCUCUGGGCCGAUACUGACGCUGAGGAGCGAAAGCGUGGGGAGCGAACAGG